AUUGAACGCUGGCGGCAGGCCUAACACAUGCAAGUCGAACGAGUGGCGGACGGGUGAGUAAUGUCUGGGAAACUGCCUGAUGGAGGGGGAUAACUACUGGAAACGGUAGCUAAUACCGCAUACCAUCAGAUGUGCCCAUAUGGGAUUGGCUAGUAGGUGGGGUAACGGCUCACCUAGGCGACGAUCCCUAGCUGGUCUGCGAGGAUGACCAGGCAACCUGGAACUGAGACACGGUCCAGAGUCCUACGGUGGGAAGCAGUGGGGAAGAUUGCACAAUGGGCGCAAGCCUGAUGCAGCCAUGCCGCGUGUAUGAAGAAGGCCUUCGGGUUGUAAAGUACUUUCAGCGGGGAGGCGUUACCCGCAGAAGAAGCACCGGCUAACUCCGUGCCAGCAGCCGCGGUAAUAC
rnacentral:rRNA from 1 species